rnacentral:lncRNA from 10 species
CCUUCGCUCUGGUGAGGUGAACCGCAGUCUGAGGAAGACUUCGCUCAAUCGUCCCUUUCCACACCCAGGGUACUGGUUUAAGGUAAUUAAGCAAAUAUGGAGCAGUAUGUUAAUUGAGUCUCUGACGACUUAAUGUUUAGUCGAAAUCCUUUGUGGAAUUGUCCAGCUAUUUCAUAUUCUGGUGCACUAUGCUUUAAAGCACAAUGGAGAGCCAGACUCGUGGGUUUGUAUGUUGUACUCAUUUUAGGCUGGAAAUGAACUCUCAUUUAUAAAGGAUAUAUAGAUAUAUAAUUAUAUUAUGUUUAAAUAAUUUAUACAAAUAUAUAAAUUUUUAUUUCCAUAUUAUUUCCAUAGGUUUUUGAGGAACAGGUGGUGUUUGGUUACAUGAGUAAGUUCUUUAGUGAUGAUUUGUGAGAUUUUGAUGUACCCAUCAUCGAGCAGUAUACACUGAACCUAAUUUUGUAGUCUUUUAUCCCUCUCCCCCUUCCCAACCUUUCCCCGAGUCCCGAAAGUCCAUUGUGUCAUUCCUAUGCCUUUGCAUCCUCAAAGCUUAGCUCUCACUUGUGAGUGAGAACAUACGAUGUUUGGUUUUCCAUUCCUGAGUUACUUCAUUUAGAAUAAGAAUAAUAGUCUCCAGUCCCAUCCAGGUUUCUGCGAAUGCCAUUUAUUCAUUCCUUUUUAUGGCUGAGUAGUAUUCCAUCAUUAUAUAUAUAUCACAUAUAUAUAUACCACAUAUAUAUAUAUAUAUAUAUAUAUCACAGUUUCUUUAUCCACUCAUUGAUUCAUGGGCAUUUGGGUUGGCUCCACAUUUUUGCAAUUGCGAAUUGUGCUGCUAUAAAUAUGCAUGGGCAAGUAUCUUUUUCGUGUAAUGACUUCUUUUCCUCUGGGUAGAUACCCAGUAGUGGGAUUACUGGAUCAAAUGGUAGUUCUACUUUUAGUUCUCUAAGGAAUCUCCACACUGUUUUCCAUAGUGGUGUACUAGUUUACAGUCCCACCAGUAAUGUAGAAGUGUUCCCUUUUCACCGCAUCCACACCAACAGCUAUUAUUUUUUGAUUUUUUUGAUUAUGGCCAUUCUUGCGGAAGUAGGGUGGUACAUACGGCAUAGCAGUUUUGACUUGGAAUUCCCUGAUCAUUAGUGAUCUUGAGCAUUUUUUCAUAUGUUUGUUGGCCAUUUGUGUAUCUUCUUUUGAGAAUUGUCUAUUCAUGUUUUUUUGUUUUUUCUUGAGACAGAGUUUUGCUCUUGUUGCCCAGGCUGGAGUGCAAUGGCGUGAUCUUGGCUCACCGCAACUUCCGCCUCCCAGGUUCAAGUGAUUCUCCUGCCUCAGCCUUCCGACCAGCUGGUAUUACCGGCAUGUGCCACCACACCCGGCUAAUUUUGUAUUUUUAGUAGAGACAGUGUUUCUCCCUGUUGGUCAGGCUGGUCUCGAACUCCAGACCUCAGGUGAUCUGCCUGCCUCAGCCUCCCAAAGUGCUGGGAUUACAAGCAUGAGCCACUGCCCCCAGCCCUUUUCAUGUUUUUAGCCCAGUUUUUGUUAGGAUUUUUUUUUUCUUGAUUAUUUGUUUGAAUUCAUUGUAGAUUCUGGAUAGUAGUCCUUUGUCAGAUGCAUAGAUUAUGAAGAUUUUCUCCCACUCUGUGGGUUGUCUGUUUACUCUGCUAACUCUUCCCUUUGCCAUGCAAAAGCUCUUUCAUUUAAUCAAGUCCCAGCUAUUUAUCUUUCUUUUCAUUGCAUUUGCUUUUGGGUUCUUGGUCAUGAAAUCCUUGCCUAAGCCAAUGUCUACAAGGGGUUUUCCGAUGUUAUCUUCUAGAAUUUUUAUAGUUUCAGGUCUUAGAUUUAAGUUCUUGAUCCAUCUUGAGUUUAUUUUUGUAUAAGGUGAGAGAUGCAGAUCCAGUUUUAUUCUCCUACGUGUGGCUUGCCAAUUAUCCCAGCACCAUUUGUUGAAUAGGGUGUCUUUUCCCCCACUUUAUGUUUUUGUUUGCUUUGUUGAAAAUCAGUCGGCUGUAAGUAUUUGGGUUUAUUUCUGGGUUCUCUAUUCUGUUCCAUUGGUCUAUAUGCCUAUUUUUAUGCCAGUACCAUGCUGUUUUGGUGACAGUAGCCUUAUAGUAUAGUUUGAAAUCAGGUAAUGUGAUGUCUCCAGAUUUGUUCUUUUCGCUUCAUCUUGCAUUGGCUAUGCAGGCUCUUUUUUGGUUCCAUAUGGAUUUUAGGAUUAUUUUUUCUAGUUCUGUGAAGAAUGAUGGUGGUAUUUUGAUGGGAAUUGCAUUGAAUUUGUAGAUUGCUUUUGGCAGUAUGGUCAUUUUCACAAUGUUGAUUCUACCCAUCCAUGAGCAUGGGAUGUGUUUCCAUUUGUUUGCCUCGUCUGUGAUUUCUUUCAGCAGUGUUUUGUAGUUUUCCUUGUAGAGUUCUUUCUCCUUCUUUGUUAGGUAUGUUCCUAAGUAUUUUAUUUUUCUAAUAAAACAAAAUACUUUUGCCGCUAUUGUCAAAGGAAUUGAGUUCUUUGUUUGAUUCUCAGCUUGGUUGCUGUUGGUGUAUAGGAGGGCUACUGAUGUGUGUACAUUAGUUUUGUAUCCUGAAACUUUGCUGACUUCUUUUAUCAGUUCUAGGAGCAUUUUGGAGAAGUCUUUAGGGUUUUCUAGAUAUACAAUCAUAUCAUCAGCAAACAGCAACAGUUUGACUGCCUCUUUACUGACUUGGAUGCCCUUUCUUUCUUUCUCUUCUCUGAUUGCUCUGGAUGGGACUUCCAGUACUAUGUUGAAGAGGAGUGGUGAGAGUGGGCAUCCUUGUCUUAUUCCAGUUGUCAGAGGGAAUGCUUUCAACUUUUCCCCAUUCAGUAUUGUGUUGGCUGUGGGUUUGUCAUAGAUGGCUUUUAUUACAUUGUGGUAUGUCCCUUGUAUGCCAGUUUUGCUGAGGGUUUUAAUCAUAAAGGGAUGCUGGAUUUUGUCAAGUGCUUUUUCUGCGUCUGUUAAGAUGAUCAUGUGAUUUGUUUUUAAUUCUGUUUAUGUGAUGUAUCACAUUUAUUGACUUGCAUAUGUUAAACCAUCCCUGCAUCCCUGGUAUGAAACCCACUUGAUCAUGGUGGAUUAUCUUUUUGAUAUGUUGUUGGAUUCAAUUAGCUAGUAUUUUGUUAAGGAUUUUUACAUCUAUGUUCAUCUGGAAUAUUGGUCUGUAGUUUGGUUUUUUUUUUUUUUUUUUUUUUGGGUUAUGUUCUUUCCUGGUUUUGGUAUUAGGGUGAUACUGGCUUCAUAGAAUGCUUUAGGGAGGAUUUCCUCUUUCUGUGUCUUGUGGAAUAGUGACAUUCUUCUUUAAAUGUCUUUAAAUGUCACAGGAUCAGCUGUGAAUCUGAUCCUGGACUUUUUUUGUUGGUGAUUUUUUUUAUUACCGUUUCAAUCUUGCUGCUUGUUAUUGGUCUGUUCAGAGUAUCUAAUUCUUCCUGAUUCAAGCUAGGUGGGUUGUAUCUUUCCAGGAAUUUAUCCAUCUCCUCUAGGUUUUCUAGUUUAUGUGUGUAAAGGUGUUCAUAGUAGCCUUGAAUGAUCUUUUGUAUUUCUGUGGUGUCAAUUGUAGUAUCUCCCAUUUCAUUUCUAAUUGAGCUUAUUUGGAUUUUCUCUCUUCUUUUCUUGAUUAAUCUUUUUAAUGGUCUAUCAAUUUUAUUUAUCUUUUCAGAGAACCAGCUUUUUGUUUCUUUUUUUUUUUUUUUGUGAUGGAGUCUUGCUCUGUCACCCAGGAUAGAGUGCAGUGGCGCAAUCUCAGCUCACUGCAAGCUCUGCCUCCCGGGUUCAUGCCAUUCUCCUGCCUCAGCCUCCUGAGUAGCUGGGACUACAGGUGCCCACCACCACGCCGGGCUAAUUUUUUGUAUUUUUUUAGUAGAGACGGGGUUUCACUGUGUUAGCCAGGAUGGUCUCGAUCUCCUGACCUUGUGAUCUGCCCGCCUCGGCCUCCCAAAGUGCUGGGAUUACAGGCGUGAGCCACUGCGCCCGGCCUAUUUCAUUUGUCUUUUGUAUUUUUUUUUUUCCAUUUCAAUUCCAUUUAGCUCUGCUCCGAUCUUAUUUCCUUUCUUCUGCUGGGUUUGGGUUUGGUUUGUUCUUGUUUCUCUAGUUUCUUGAGGUAUGACCUUAGAUUGUCUAUUUGUGCUCUUUCAGACUUUUUGAUGUAGGCAUUUAGGGCUAUGAGCUUUCCUCUUAGCACCACCUUUGCUGUAUCCCAGAGGUUUUGAUAAGUCAUGUCACUAUUGUUGUUCAGCUUGAAAAAUUUUUAAAUUUCCAUCUUGAUUUCAUUUUUGACCCAGUUGUCAUUCAGGAGCAGGUUAUUUAAUUUCCAUGUAUUUGCAUAGUUUUGAAGGUUCCUUUUGGAGUUGAUUUUCAGUUUUAUUCCACUGUGGUCUGAGAGAGUGCUUGAUAUAAUUUUAAUUUUCUUAAAUUUAUUGAGAUUUGUUUUGUGGCCUAUCAUAUGAUCUAUCUUGGAGAAAGUUCCACGUGCUGAUGAAUAGAAUGUAUAUUCUGCAGUUGUUUGGUAGAAUGUUACGUAAACAUCUGUUAAGCCCAUUUGUUCCAGGGUAUAGUUUAAAUCCAUUGUUUCUUUGUUGACUUUCUGUCUUGAUGACCUGUCUAGUACUGUGAGUGGAGUAUUGAAAUCCCCCACUAUUAUUGUGUUGCUGUCUAUCUUAUUUCUUAGGUCUGGUAGUAAUUGUCUUAUAAACUUGGGAGCUCCAGUCUUAAGUGCAUAUAUAUUUAGGAUUGUGAUAUUUUCCUAUUGGACAAGGCCUUUUGUCAUUAUGUAAUGUCCCUCUUUGUCUUUUUUAACUGUGGUUACUUUAAAGUUUGUUUUGUCUGAUAUAAAAAUAGCUAUUCCUCCUUGCUUUUGGUGUCCAUUUGCAUGAAAUGUCUUUUUCCACCCCUUUACCUUAAGUUUAUGCAAAUCCUUAUGUGUUAGGUGGGUCUCUUGAAGGCAGCAAAUAGUUUGUUGGUGAAUUCUUAUCCAUUCUGCAAUUCUGCAUCUUUUAAGUGGAGCAUUUAGACUAUUUACAUUCAAUGUUAGUAUUGAGAUAUGAGGUGCUAUUCCAUUCAUUGUGCUAUUUGUUGCUUGUAUACCUUGGGUUGUUUUUUUUUUAAAUUGUAUUUUUGUUGUAUAGGUCCUGUGAGAUUGAUGCUUUAAAGAGGAUCUGUUUUGAUGUGCUUCCAGGAUUUUUUUCAAGAUUUAGAGCUCCUUUUAGCAGUUCUUGUAGUGCUGGCUUGGUAGUGGUGAAUUCUCUCAGCAUUUGUCUGAAAAAAACUGUAUCUUUCCUUCAUUUAUGUAGCUUAGUUUCGCUGGAUACAAAAUUCUUGGGUGAUAAUUGUUUUGUUUAAGGAGACUGAAAAUAGGGCCCCAGUCCCUUCUAGCUUGUAGGGUUUCUUCUGAAAAAUCUGCUGUUAAUCUGAUAGAUUUUCCUUUAUAGGUUACCUGGUGCUUUUGCCUCACAGCUCUUAAGAUUCUUUCCUUCAUUUUAACUUUUGAUAACCUGAUGACAAUGUGCCUAGGCGAUGAUCUUUUUGCGAUGAGUUUCCCAGGUGUUCUUUGAGCUUCUUGUAUUUGGAUGUCUAGGUCUUUAGCAAGGCUGGGGAAGUUUUCCUCAAUUAUUCCCCCAAAUAUGUUUUCCAAACUUUUAGAUUUCUCUUCUUCUUCCACAAGAAUGCCAAUUAUUCUUAGGUUUGGUUGUUUAACAUAAUCCCAGACUUCUUGGAGUCUUUGUUCAUUUUUUCUUUAUUCUUUUUUCUUUGUAUUUGUUGGAUUGGAUUAAUUUGAAAACCUUGUCUUCGAGCUCUGAAGUUCUUUCUUCUGCUUGUUCGAUUCUAUUGCUGAGACUUUCCAGAGCAUUUUGCAUUUCUCUAAGUGCAUCCAUUGUUUCCUGAAGUUUCGAUUGUUUUUUAUUUAUGCUAUCUAUUUCACGGAAGUUUUCUCCCCUCAUUUUGUUUUUUGUUGUUGUUGUUGUUGUUGUUGUUUCUUUUGUUUAGUAGAGACGGGGUUUUGCCAUGUUGCUCAGGCUGGCCUUGAACUCCUGGCCUCAAGUGAUCGACCCACCUCGGCCUCCCAAAGGGCUAGGAUUACAGGUAUGAGCCACCAUACCUGGCCUCCCCGUAUUUCCUCUUAUUUUUUUUUAUUUCUUUAAAUUGGGCUUCACCUGUCUCUGGUGCGUCUUUGAUUAGCUUAGUAACUGACCUGAAUUCUUUUUCAGGUAAAUCAGGGAUUUCAUCUUGGUUUGGAUCCAUUGCUGGUGAGCUAGUGUGAUUUUUUGGGGGGUGUUAAAGAGCCUUGUUUUGUCAUAUUACCAGAAUUGUUUUUCUGGUUCCUUCUCAUUUGGGUAGUCUAUGUCCGAUGGAAGGUCUAGGGCUCAAGGCUGCUGUUCAGCUUCAUUUGUCCCAUGAGGUGUUCCCUUGAUGUAGUACUCUCCCCCUUUUCCUAGGGAUGUGGCUUCCUGAGAGCCAAGCUGUAGUGAUUGUUAUCUCUCUUCUGGAUCUAGCCACCCAGCAAGUCUAUCAGGCUCUGGGCUGGUAUUGGGGGUUGUCUGCACUGAGUCCUAUGAUGUGAACCAUCCACAGGUCUCUCGAGGCUCUGUGUGUGUGUGUGUGUGUGUGUCUGUGUGUGUGUGUGUGUGUGUGUGUGUGUAUAUAUAUAUAUAUUUAUUUUUUUGAGACGGAGUCUUCCUCUGUCACCAGGCUGGAGUGCAAGUGGUGUGAUCUUGGCUCACUGCAACCUCUGCCUCCCAGGUUCAAGUGAUUCUCCUGCCUCAGCCUCCCGAGUAGCUGGGACUACAGCCGUGCACCACCACGCCCAGCUAAUUUUUGUUAUUUUUAGUAGAGACAGGGUUUCACUACAUUGGCCAGGAUGAUCUCAAUCUCUUGAUCUCAUGAUCUGCUCACCUUGGCCUCCCAAAGUGCUGGGAUUACAGGUGUGAGUCACUGUGCCUGGUCUUUUUUUCUUCUUUUUUUUUUUUUUGAGAUGGAGUCUCACACCAUCAUUCUGGCUGGAGUGCAAUGGCACGAUCUCGGCUCACUGCAACCUCUGCCUCCCAGGUUCAAGCAAUUCUUCUGCCUCAGCCUCCCGAGUAGCCGGGAUUACAGGUGCCCGCCACCAUGCCCAGCUAAUUUUUUGUAUUUUUAGUAGAGACAGGGUUUCACCGUGUUGAUCAGGCUGGUCUUGAACUCCUGACCUCGCGAUCUGCCCGCCUCAGCCUCCCAAAGUGCUGGGAUUAGAGGCAUGAGCCACCACACCCGGCCGAGUCUGUAUAUUUUUUAACAACCAGUUUGUGAUCUGAAAUUGGCAUAAGAUUCCUAUUGUCACACAUGUGUUUGCAAUUAAUUCAAAAGUAUGGACAUGUAACUAUUGGAUAAGUUUGUCAUCACGUUUAUGAAUCUGAUUUUAAAAGACAGAUCUGUUAUUUGGGCAAGAGUUGAAUGAAGCUCCGUAAGUGCUCCUUCCCUCCUCUCUUUCUCCCAGAGGGUCAUGCUGUUUGGCCCAGGCUGGAGUGUGCGGUGGCAUAGUCAUAGCUCAUUGCAGCCUCAACCUUCUGGGCUCCAGCAAUCCUCCCACCUCAAUUUCCCAAGUAGCUGGAACCAGAAGUGCAUGCCACCACACCCGGCUAACUUUUUAAAGUUUUUUUGUAGACAAGGGGUCACACUAUGUUGUCCAGGCUGGCCUUUGAACUCCUAGGUUCAAGUGCCACCGCCCACCUUGGCCUCCCAAAGUGCUGGAAUUACAGGCAUGAGUCAUCAUACCCUGCCAAAUAAUUUAUUUUUAACCAAACUUUUAAAGUAUUAUAACCAUUAUAGAGUUGCUGUUGUCUUCUGCUUUUAAAAGGUAAUGGAGGAGAAACUGGAAAUUCCGCCUCUUGAAUAAUUCCUGUUGCUUCCCAUAAUCAUAUAGAAAACUCUAAAUUGUGCCUUUAAAGUUUUAGGUUUUUAAAAGAAUACAUAAAUUUACUUCAGAGUAUCUUAUAUUUGGAGGAAAUACUCCCUAUCCUGUUCAGGCUGGUAUGUUCCAUCCCUGUCUCAGCCAGCACGUUAACUCCCAAAAUUUCCUAAAUACAACUUUCUCAUAAUUCAAAGUCUUUGUUAGGUCUUUUCUAAGAGGCCUUAGCAGACCGUCUUUCCAAACAUUUUCAUGUAUUUACUUCAAAACAGUUGAUAAUCUAUUGAGUUUGUUUUCUGUCUUAUCCCUAGUAGAUGGUAAAUCUUCCUCAUUUUGUAAUGUUUAAUACAGUUCCAAGUUUAUUUGGUGGAAUGUCAAGAUUGUUCCUGUAAAUUUGUGGCCAGUGAACAGUGGCACAUAUUUGUAUUUAUGCGUGUGUGCUUACACUCUCUGUAGUGCAGCACAAUUUUUAGUUAGUAGCAGAAAAACACUAACCCUGAUGUACCCAAAACUUCGUGUUUGAGGGAAAAAAUUUAGAUGGCUCAGAACUAUGUCGCACAUGUGAUAUAGCAGGAGAGCAAGCGAGAUAGAGCGCGAUGUAGAUAUAGCUUCACUUUAAUCCGAGGCAUUUGCAAGUUGCUGGACCUAGAUGAUUCUUUAUCCAGAGGACUCCCAUAGGGGCUGGAUUAAUUUCUAAGACUGGGGAAUCCCAACUUACUUUGGUAGAUAAUUCUAGGAGGCCUUUCAAAGUGCUGGGGGUGGGGGUGCUGUUCCUACUUCAAACUAAGCCAGUGUUGCAACUGCACCCUGUUCUUCACAAGUCUUUUUGGAUCAUCUCAGCUGCAGAAAUCCUCUCUUACCUCUCUGAUACACUUUUUGUUGUUUUUAAGAGACAGCAUCUUGCUGUGUCACCCAGGCUGGAGUGCAAUGGUGCAAUCAUAGCUCAUCAUAGUGUCGAAAUCCCAGGCUCAAACAAUCCUCCCACCUCAGCCUCCUGAGUAGCUAGGACUACAGGUGCACACCACCACACCCAUCUAAUUAAAAAAAAAAAUUGAGGACUGGGCCCAGUGGCUCAUGCCUGUAAUCCUAGCACCUUGGGAGGCCGAGGCGGGCAGACCACUUGAGGUCAGGAGUUCAAGACCAGCCUGGCCAACAUGGUGAAACCCUGUCUCUACUAAAAACACAAAAAAAAAUUAGCCAGGCAUGGUGACACACAUCUGUAAUCCCAGCUACUCAGGAGGAUGAGGCACAAGAAUCACUUGAACCCAGGAGGCAGAGGUUGCAGUGAGCCGAGAUUGUGCCACUGCACUCCAGCCUGGACAAGAGAGAGAGACUCCGUCUCAAUAAAUAAAUAAAAUUUUGUAGCAAGAGUCUAUGUUGCCCAGGUUGGUCUCAAACUCCUGGCCUCAAGCAGUCCUCCCACCUUGGCCUCCCGAAGUGCUGAGAUUAUAGGCAUGAGCUACUGUGCCUGGCCUGGUACACUAUUUAUCCAGCAUAAAUUGGGGUAUUUUAACAUAAUCUAUGCAGCCUAUCAUCAGUUUUUUCUACACAGGUGAUACAGAGACCAGUGGCAGAGUUAUGAUGAACAGUAGCAUCCAAGAUUCAGAAGCAGCAUAUUACUUCAAGCAGCUUACCCAAACCACAUAUACAAAAGAGCAGUCAUGACUCCAGUCAGAGAAGAAAAAAAAAAAUCCAGAUUUAGAUCUAGUCCUACAAUACCCUAGACUCCAUCUCCAUCUCCAGACUCUGCCUCUCCCUCAGUACUCUCAGGUCAUGUUCACCUGUUUGUCUUCUAGGAUGCCUACAGGACUGCCUGCUUCAGGUUCUUUACAUUUGUUCUCUCUGCUGAACACUUAUAGCACAAAUAUCCUUAGAGAGACCUUCCCUGACCACCCAAAUACAAAUAAUCUCCACUCCAUUUCCCAAGUCAGUCUCUAUCACAUUACCUUAUGUUAUUUCUUCUACUGCAUUAUCACUGUCUAAAAUUCCUAUUUACGAAUUGUCUCUCUACUAGGAUAUCAUACAUGGAUGUGAUACAUGAGGUCAGGAGACUUCAUCUGUAUUUUUUUCAGAUGAAUCCCCAGUGUCUAGCAUAGUAUCUGGAUCAUAAUAAAUGAUAAAUUUGUGAAUGGAUUGAUUCACCUGAAUUAUUUCAGCACAAACUAAAUUGUAGUAAUCACACAGUUGGUUUUUAAUAAUUCUUCAUAUUUAAGAACAAAAGAACUACCCUCAUCUUCAAAGAAAUCAGACACAAUUUUUUUUUUGUUUUACUAACUCAUUUAGGAAUUCUUUUCUUUUCUGGAAAAUAAGCUUAUGCUAGACUAAUUUUCAAGGCUGAAUAUUUUUCUUCAAAUGAAAUAAAUAUAAACACAUUUCUAUAUACACAGCAUUUUUAUUAAAUAUACUCUGUGAGAAAAAGAACACCCUAAAGUGCCAGAUUUCAUGUAAAUCCAAUAACUUAGUAAAUACAAUGGUGAAAAAAAAUCAGAGGGAAACAUAAUUUAAAUAAUCUUAUAAAAGAGCAAGAACAUAUCUUAAUCUUAAGAAAACAAUCAUCAAAAUAUAAAAGGGAAAGAAAUCUCUUUUGUAGAAGAAUAUAUUUCAAAUUCCACCUGUUGAUCAUUUCAUUUAAAAAAUUCUAUUCUAAACACAUGGGCAGUCUCUCUUACCAAUAUAUAUAUUUAAAUCAAUGGUAGAAAGGGAAUUUAGACUACUCAUUCACACUGAGAUAAAGUGACAUUUUUGUUGCACAACAGUAUUGCUCACUGGCACUAACAGUGGAAGAUGGAGAAAGUAGAUUUCUGGAUUCAAUUGUUAGCAGCAGAAAUGGACUAAUGCUAAAAAUUUAGAAAAAAAUAGUCCAAGCUGUAGCGAUUUCCAAGUAAUACAAACAUUAACCAAACAUUGCCAAUUUGUAACGGGCUGUGAAAAACAUAUGAAAAUACUCUACAUUGAAUACUAGCUUUAUGUUACUUUCUAUUAAAGAUAUUCAGUGGGCAUAUUCUAAAUUAUAUAGGGCUUCUAUAGAGACCUAAACUAGCAAGUAUAAUAUGAAGCUAACAGGACAGUGUCAGCAUAUCUUGGGAUGUUCUAGCCAAUGUUUGGCUACAAGUAUUUGGAAGGGGUCAAAUAACUAUAUGCACAUUCAAAAUGAAUACUUAUAAAAAGAAAUCUUAAUGUAUCAGAUAUCCACAGACUGAAAAGUGUUACACAUGUUGUGGGGGGAAAAUACUGAUGGUUGGCUGAAUGACCAAUUAAACAUACCACUUAUGAAAAGCUGGGUGAUUCAGGUGCAAAAAAAUAUAUAUGCACACAUAUCUCUCUAAUAACAUCCUACCAACAUAUAUAUGUUGCAUGACAUAGUUAAAGCUGUGUUACCAAACUAGGAUGUGUAAAGUAUCAAUGUAGUUAAAAUUAAAUUUUAAGUAAAAAGCUGCUGCUACUUAAACAAGAGAGUGAACUUUGGGGUUUAUUCAAGAAUUAGUUCUCAUAUAUAAAAAAGUUUGAUAUUAAUAAACAAUUCUGGUCACCAUAAGGUUUUAGACAGUAUAGAAACUUACAGAAAAGUGUUUUUGGACCACUUUAAAUAGUUGGAGGAAGCAAAUAAAAGGAUUAAACUGGAUUAUGAGUAUGAAUGCAUUUAUGAUCAAAAUUAACACACCAAAAAAAUCAAACCACAUUUCACAGCAGAACCUGCAAAAACGUUUGUAUUCAUCUUUUUUGAACCAUAAAAAAGAAUGAUUUAGUCUUGUCUAAUACGACUUUUAAGCAACAAAAAUAAUUUAAUCAUGAAGUAUCAGCUUGAUUAUGAAUAUAUUCUAUUAUCUGUAUCAGUUGGUAAAUUAACUGUGUUACCCAAAAAGGCUGACCAGCUCUAACUAGUAUGAACAGGAUAUUGAAUUCAUUAAUGAAUAUAUAACUAUUUUGAGCAUACAAAUAAUCUCUGGUUUUACACCCACUACAUUUCAGAAUCCUGUAAACUGUGAGGCAUACAAUAUGUUUAAUGUGGCAGAAAAUCAUAUGAAAUGAUUAUUUUAUUCUGUUCAGUCCUUUUCCCAUUAAGCAUGCAAACACCGUCAUAACCAUCUUUGGUUUCACUUCUACGAGGUCAUCAGGUAAUGCAUAUAUCCGGGCACCGAUCUUUCGAGCAACUGAAAUGGCGUAUCUUGAAGAGACAAGAAAAAUAUCUUGGUGUUAUCCACUGUGUUUUCACUUAACAUAUUUUAACAAAAGAGUGAAAUAUUUUGACAAGAUUAGUUUUACGAAAAGGUUAAGUUUGUGAGUCUUAAAUCUAAGACUCACAUAUAAGUUAUAUUUAAAAAUAUGAAUUUUAAGGGCAUAGUAACUUUUCCUAUAAGGAUUUUAGAGAAUUAAAGGGCCAUGUAUUGUAAUAUAAACCAUAAAGGCUUACUUAGCAUUGUUCAGCUUGUCCUCAUCAGAUAAGUUUUCUCUCCUGAUCAUUUCUUGACGAACUGCAUUUGGUGCAAUGGCAUCUAUUAAAUCUAGGACAGGUAAACUUGUGCUUAUAGAUUUAUCCUAGAAAAUAAAGCAUAGAUGAACAUUCAUAAACAUCUGACCUUUAAUUUUCAUUAUUUUCAGACUCUUCUGAUCAUAUAACUGAAGGCAAUCUACAAAUUCUUUGUACUUAACCUAACGUUCAGCUUUUCUGCAACCAGCACACAUAAAUAAACCCUUUAAAAUAUACUUUUCCUUGAAUCUUUAUAUAUAAUAUAGAGUUGUCACCAUAUCUGAAUAAGGUUUGUGGACAUGAUAGCUCCUAAGUAUGCUAACUAUAGUGUCCAUUCUGUAAAAAAUACAAAACUUUUGAAAGGGAAUAGAUGAAUUUUUAAUUAACAAUUUUAUAAAUUCUACUCACAUAUUUCUUAGACCAUGAAUCCAAAAGCCUUCCCUUAAUAUUUUUCAGAAAGAAAAAUGAAAUAGUGAAAGGGAACUAACACUUACAAAGACAUUGUCUUGUUGUUUUACAUGUUUUAGUUUAUUUAAUCCACCUUUUAAACCCUAGCAUCUUGAUAGUAAAGGAAUUCUUUUUUAAAAAAAGAUGAAGAAUAUAAAGUUAAGAUAGCUCAAAUGACUUGUUUACACAACCAGUAAAUACAGAACCCAUGACAGUCUGACUCUAAAAUGCCCAAGAGUCUCUCCAUUUUUAAGUUACCACCAAGGCAAGCUAAAAAUGGACAACUAAAUUAUAGUGAAUAGCGCACUGCAGAUGAAAUCAGACAUCCUGGUCUGAACUGAUUUUUACCACUUAUCAGUACUUGAACAAAUUAUUUGUUUUCUCUCUCAGCUUGAAUAGUGGCCACCACUGCUUGCCUACCCAGAAUCUACACACUCUUUACUUCUUUCAUACAAGUAGAACCCAUAUUUUUGCUCUAUAUCCAUACCUCCUUCACACAGACAUCAGCUUCAAGGAAAGCUGACAUUCAUAGUUCCAGGAGUGAACCUAAAUUAAUCUAGGUCAAGCAUUCUCAAUAGGGGUAGGGUGAUAACCUUGUUUAUGUAUAAAGCAUACAGUGCAUAAACAGGUAUACAGUGUAUCUCUGCAUUAAAAUUUCAUGGGAGAGACAAAAACGGAAAAAAAGGUCUAAAAAUAUUCCUUAGAGGAUAAUUUUCUUUUAAGAUUUCAAAACACUGGUCUAAGCCAAAUAGAGGAAUGCUAUUCUAUUACCACAGUAAUUUAAUUUGGGCCUAUGUUAUGGAAAGCCAGCAACCCCUCCUCCUGGAUGUGAAUGAGAGAAUGAAACCUCUGUCACAAGCAGCAACUAUCCUAUGACCAAAAGGAAAACCAGCUUUAGGGUGAAGCUGGCACAUUAGAUGGCAAAGCAGAGAUGGGAAAAAAAAAAAAAAAAAAGAGUCCUGAAUGACAUUCUUCAAUUAUUGGUUCAACCAAUCCAGAAGUCUACCCUACCUCUGGAUUACUGUUAUUGUAGUCAACACCUUUCCUUUUGGUUUAAACCACUUGAAAUUGGGUUUCUGUUACUUGAAGCCAGAGCACCCUUUCCUAAUCUCUAAAGUAGAAUGUCAUAGGAUUCUUAGGAAUACUGAGGUGGUAUAGGUGAAAACAUCUAGUAUAGGCUCUAGCCAAAUGUCAGUUCUUAAUCAAUAUCUAAUAAAACAAUCUGAAGCCAUGUGAAGAAGAGUAACAGCUUCUUUGAGCCACAAUCUAUGAGCCACUUCAUUUAUUAAUUUUUUUUUUUUUUUUGACGCAGAGUCUCGCUCUGUUGCCCAGGCUGGCGUGCAGUGUUGCCAUCUUGGCUCACUGCAAGCUCUGCCUCCCAGGUUCAUGCCAUUCUCCUGCCUCAGCCUCCUGAGUAGCUGGGACUACAGGCGCCGGCCACCACACCCGGCUGAUAUUUUUGUAUUUUUAGUAGAGAUGGGGUUUCGCCGUGUUAGCCAGGAUGGUUGUGAUCUCCUGACCUCGUGAUCCACCCGCCUCGGCCUCCCACCGUGGUGGGAUUACAGGCCUGAGCCACUGUGCCCGGCCUCAUUUAUUAAUUUUAGAAAAAUUUAUAUUCUUAUGUUCAUGUUAUGAUACAGAUUUUUGGGCAGGAAUGUUCAUUUUAUGAUACAGAUCUUUGGCCAGGGGUAAUGUUCAUUUUAUGAUACAGAUCUCUGGGCAGGGGUAAGAGAGAGAGGGUAAAAAUAAUUAGGUCCUUUAAGUCUAUCUGAUGCUGGUAAUCUGGAUCUGCUUUUUGUAUCUUUUCUGUUUCUGAGAAAUCAGUCUGCAGACCACCUACAUGAAAAUCAUGUGGGGUAUUUGUUAAAAGUGCAAAUCUAGCCCCACUCAAACUAAUGUCAGGUUAUCUAUGAAUGAGGCUGGGAAUCUACAUUUUUAAUAAGCUUUCUAGAUGACUCUAAAUGUGUACUGUAUUAUACUUUCUAAAAACAAUAUUUCAUUCUAGAAUGCAUUUUAAUUUCUAUGGGCUUACCUUUCAUAUAUGUAUAUGAUUAUUUUUUAAAAUACAAGUGACUUAUUUAAUUGUGCUAUAAUUUGAUUCCUUAUUUACAUAUUUGUGUUAUUUUAAAUAUUUCAUUUAGAUUUAGGAAACAAGUAUUUUUCCCACCCAUUUUCUUAUGAGUUACCUUGCGUAAAGCUUCUACUGAGUUUAAUGAAGAAUUUAAGUUUCUAAAGAUUGUAUCAGAUCUCUUAUCUUCUUGUUUCCAAGAAAAUAGCCCUGUCUUCCAAAUCCUCUGAUUUGUACAUUAUCAGUGAAAGACAUUUUACUUUUGCAA